CCUAAUCUAGAUGCCCCUCAUACACCUACAUCCGCCCGAGAACUACGAGCACAAACGCUUAAAACUCUAAGGACUUGGCGGUGCCUCAAACCCACCUAGAGGAGCCUGUUCUAUAACCGAUAAUCCACGAUCCACCUAACCACCCCUUGCCAACACAGCCUACAUACCGCCGUCGCCAGCUCACCUCUAAUGAAAGAACAACAGUGAGCCCAACAGUCCCCACUAGCAAGACAGGUCAAGGUAUAGCCCAUGGGGUGGAAGAAAUGGGCUACAUUUUCUAGCAUAGAACAUAACGGAAAAGAGCGUGAAACUCGCCCUUAGAAGGAGGAUUUAGCAGUAAAGUAGGACCACACUCCCCUUCAAGCCUUCUUAAAGACGGCCCUGAGGCACGUACACACCGCCCGUCACCC
rnacentral:rRNA from 1 species